rnacentral:rRNA from 1 species
GAUGAACGCUGGCGGCGUGCCUAAUACAUGCAAGUCGAGCGAACGGACGAGAAGCUUGCUUCUCUGAUGUUAGCGGCGGACGGGUGAGUAACACGUGGAUAACCUACCUAUAAGACUGGGAUAACUUCGGGAAACCGUAGCUAAUACCGGAUAAUAUUUUGAACCGCAUGGUUCAAAAGUGAAAGACGGUCUUGCCGUCACUUAUAGAUGGAUCCGCGCUGCAUUAGCUAGUUGGUAAGGUAACGGCUUACCAAGGCAACGAUGCAUAGCCGACCUGAGAGGGUGAUCGGCCACACUGGAACUGAGCCACGGUCCAGACUCCUACGGGAGGCAGCAGUAGGGAAUCUUCCGCAAUGGGCGAAAGCCUGACGGAGCAACGCCGCGUGAGUGAUGAAGGUCUUCGGAUCGUAAAACUCUGUUAUUAGGGAAGAACAUAUGUGUAAGUAACUGUGCACAUCUUGACGGUACCUAAUCAGAAAGCCACGGCUAACUACGUG